UACAAAUGAAUAUUAAACUAUUCAUGUUACUUUUAUUCAAAAAGUCUCCACUUUGAUUUGAAUAGUAGUAACUCCACCUUGACAAUAAAUCAGUUCGCCUUAUCCUUUACAGCAGCCAUGGUUCUCAACAUAGAGAAUCACUAUAGUCCACCUACUUGGGUACUCAUACCAUUUAGAAUUAAACUAUAAGACACGCUAGUUGGAUUUGGUCCUCGAGCGUGUCUGAGACAAAAUUUGGCCAUGAUUGAACUCAAGAUACCACUUGCUCUCGUGCUGUCUAAUUUUGCUUAUGGCGCAUUUACUUCUUGGAUUAGGGAAUCAGAAUUUGGAAUGAAAAUGAUUGAUAAUAUUUACUUACUAAAAUGGAAGUGGGAAUAAGAAUGAAAAAUGUGAGGCCCACGUGUUGUUUGGAUUAAGGAAUGGGAACUUUAUUCCUAUGUGGGGGGAGCAGGGUGGGAAUCAAGUUCCCAUCCCUUGAGCUCGUCCCCAUUUUACCCUCAUCCCAAUUUCAUAAUUCUACUUUUAUCCUCAAUUAAUUUUAUUAUGUUACAUUAUUGUUAUUGUUAUUUUUCUAAUUUUUGUAAUUGUUGUUAAUAAUAAUAAUAAUAAUAAUAGUAAUAAUACGAGUACUAUUGACUAAUGGUAAUAAAACGAAUAAUUAAUAGUGAUAAUUUUAAACAUAAUAAUAAUAUUAUUAAUUAAUGAUAAUAAAAUUAAUGACGAUAAUAAUGAUAAUGACAACGACGACGACAAUAUUAUUAUUAUUAAUAAUUAAUUAAUUAAUAAUAACAAUGAUGAUGAUGACAACGAUGACGGCGACAAUAAUAAAUUAAGGUCAUUUUAAUAACUUAUAGUAAUCUAUUAUGAUUUCCAUUCUCCUUUUUUAUUUCAAUUAUCAUUCUGAUUCCAGUCCAUUCUGAUUAUCAAUUUGUAACCACAACAUUAAUUUCUCAUUUUCUCUAGAGUAUGUUCACUCACCUGUUUAUAGCUUCAUUAUUGUGCCACUACUUGGAGUCAAUCUGCAGGUAAGAAAUUUGUCAGGUGUUUCUUGAGAAAUUAAUUUCAACAUGUAAGGCAGAGAGUGACAUUUGGGAAACAGUUUGGAGAGGAGAUGAUUUAUUUUUGUGAAUUUUGUUCUCUAAUUUGGUGUAUAUGGUUUAAUUUAAUGCCAUCUGUGUAGUAGAAAUUAACACUUUGUAGAAUUCCAUUUGUUCAGUAAAUAUCUAGGUAAUUUGUUGCUGUAGCCUGUGGGCUAUCUCAUUAUCUUCAAUUAAUUUGUGUGGGUGUUGGAUUGGUGGUUCAACUGAUAGAAUCUCUUAUGGAAGAAGAGGUCUGAAGUUCAAAUUAAUCUAGCUCACUUGUAAAGCAAUUAAUUUUUUAGUGUUAAUUGGUUCAAAGGGUGCAGAAAAAACUCUUUAUGAUAGAAUAAUAUGUUGAUGUACUUGUGUUUUAGGAAACUUGCAAAUUUUGAAAUAUUCUACUUACAGGACUUCUAUUUUAAAAUAUUUUCUAGACAAACAUCACCUUAUGUGAGUUAUGCAGAUUAUUGAGUAAAAAUUCAGGUGAGUGAUCGGCAGUUAAUUGGGAAAAAAAAAUAGUUAAAUACCUGGUUCUUGGAGUCAUCUAUGUAAGAUAACCCAAUUACAAGGUUCUUAGAUGAGGCUACUCAUUUGGGUUUGGUCUUGCAUGCCUGAGCUUCCUCCUUAUGGGUUUUAUUGUUAUAGACAUACGCGUUACUCUAUAAACUACAUUUUGCUAUCUUUCCUUUCCAAUGCAAAAUUGUGGAAUUUUGAAAUAACAACCUGUAUACAUAAAAUAAGAACUAGAAAAUAAAUAAAUGAUCGACAUAGAGUCGCUUUCAAGCGAGUCGCUUUCAAGCCACAAGAAUAUAAAAUAUGAAUGAAAAAACAAUUUUCACAAAUAGUCUCCCAUCAACACGAUUGGUGUUACUAGUAUAUAUAUUCGCCGUUGCUGUCAACAUGUCAAUCAUAGUUGUAUAUUUUUUUCAGCUUCAUAAUUAUUUGUUCUUGAUUAGUUGUAAUUAAUCUCCUAUCAACUCGAUGGAUAUAAUAUUUUGCAACCACGACUACUAGCACCAUUGGUAAUUGUUAACUUUUUGUAUUUCUCUAAAUCUAAACCGAUUGAUGGAAUUUAUGGAAAAGAUCAAGCAGAGGACCAAUAUGAUAUGGACAGAUGAUAAAAUUUUAUUGGUAACAACUUGCUCCUCAAGGUGUCCAUGAACAUAGAAGAAAAUAGACAACACUGGUACAAAUUUUCACAAGAGGGAAUUGGAAGAGGAUAAUCAUGAUUAGAAUAUAAGUACAAUGGAUAUUUUUCUAGACAUAUCAAGAUUAAGAGCAAGGGGAGUAUAGCGUUGGCACAAGAUGAAGAGGUAAUUUCUUAUGAACCACUAGCCCAUUAACUUCAGACAUGUCCAAAUUCUCCUCAACUUCACCAAGAGGCAAAUUCCAAUCAAACCAGUACAAAAGGUUGGCCAUCACAUACUCAACUGCAGCUAACGCAAAUGAUAUCCCUGGGCAUCCUCUUCUUCCAGCACCAAAGGGGAUAAAUUGGAAGUCUCGGCCUUUACAAUCCACUGGGUUAGCGAAAAACCUGUCUGGCAAGAAAUCUUCUGGCCUGUCCCAAACUUGGGGAUCUGUUUGAAUUGCCCAUGCAUUUACAAUCACUCUAGUUUUUGCAGGAAUAUCAUAACCUCUCCAUUUGAUACUGUCUGCCAUUUCUCGCGGAACCAAGAGAGGAACUGGUGGAUGUAACCUCAGAGUUUCUUUGACAACACAUUUCAAAUAGUCCAUCUUCUCAAUUUCCUUCAUGUCUAUAUUUAAUUUCCCUUUUGCCACACUUCUAACCUCUUCUCGAACUCUGUUCAUACUAGUUGGAUUUUUCACUAGCUCUGCCAUUGCCCACUCUAGUGUUGUUGCAGUAGUCUCAGUUCCUGCUACAAACAUGUCCUGAGAAUGUGGAACAUGAAAAACCUUUAGUAUUGAUGUAUGUUUAUGUAUAUGCAAGAGCGCGCUUUUGCGUGCAUGAUGUAUGUAAAAGAUGUAAAAAUAUAGAGAGAGCUAAUAAUUUUUUCUUUUUUUUGAAAAGGAGAGAGCUAAUAAUUAAAAUAAUUAAGACUAGCUGGUUGAGAGGAAGGACAGACAAGGAUAAUUGCUUUAAGAUUGUCCUGAGAGAGCUCUGCCCCAAGCAUGCCAUCCUUUCGAAGUUGGAGGAGUAUAUCCACAAAGUCUUUUUUAUCAGAUUGGUCAUCAUCAUGCCCACUUCCUUUUGAUACCUUGUUCGUGUGCUCUUCAAUCACCUGAUCAAGCAAAGCGUCAAAUGCUCUAGCAGUUGCGUUGAGACGACCAAUGAAUCCCGAGAGAAUAUCUAACCAUGCCAAAGAUGGAAACAUAUCUCCCAUACAAAAGGCAGCAAGCUGCUCUUCCAGCCUUCUUGACAACUCUCCCAGCUUAUUGCUGUCUCCAAUAUUUUCUUCUUCUUCAUCAGCUUUCUUCCCAAGAACGCAGAGGGAAACUAUAUUGCUGGAAGCAGUCAGUAGCAUCUCUGUUAAAUUAAGAGGACCUCCUUUAUUAAGACACGAGAGGCGAAUUUUAGUUACCAAACUUGAAACUUCAUCAUCUCUAACAUACUGAAAUGAUUGCACUCUUCGCACACUCAAGAGUUGAAGAAUGCAAAUCUUCCGAGCUUGUCUCCAGUACUCGCCGUAAUUAGAGAACGUGAUAUCUUGGCAUUCAUAUACGAGGAUGUUAGCAGGUGUGGUUUUGGGCCGGUUCGAGAUCACAAUGUCAUGAUUUUUAAACAUCUCACCAGCCAACUCAGCCGAUGAAACCACAAAGGUUGGAGAAUUGCCAAAGUAAACGAACAUCAAAGGGCCGUACCUCUCCGAAAGAGCUUUGAGAGAGCGAUGAGGGAGAGUUCCCAGAAGCUGGUGAAGGUUGCCGAGAAUGGGGAGCUUUGGUGGGGAUGGAGGUAAGUUGAGAUGGUUACUACUACGUCUGGUGAUUUUCAGCAACUGCACAAGUGUGAGCAAGAGGAUAAGAAGAAGAAGAAAGAUGGACAGAGGAGGGUUGUAAAUUUCUGAUAUGCCCAUAAAAGGCUGCAGCAGUUGCUUCAUCAAGACUGAUACCAGAGCCAUUUCAGGUUGGGAUUCCCCAACUUAAGCUUCAAUUGGGGUUUGCACGUUGAAUUCUCAACUCUAUCAAGCUUUUUAAUUACGCGAUUAAUUCUUCGUAGCGGAUGACAUGAUUGAAUAGACUGACAUCAACGUGCCCACUUCUGCAAUAACUAGGGACGGCUUUAAAUAUAGGUGAAUUAAGUAAUUGUCUAAGGCUUCACAUCGUGACCGCCGAGUCCUUACAUGUUAGAAGAUCUUUUUUUUUUUGUAUUUCUUUAAUAUAAUCAAAUUAUUUUUUUUAACUUAUGAUAAAAAAGCCUAUUUUUAGGCAUAUUUUAAUUGAUAAUUAUCUUGCACUUAAGAUUUUUUUACACAAAUUUUAUAUUUGAUAAUCUUAACAUUAAAGAGCUAUAAUUAAUAGUAUUAAUUAUUAAUUCAUUAUUAGUUUUUCAAGAAAAAUAUUAAAAAAUUCUUUAUUUGUUUAAAAAAAAACUUGAUUAUUUAAUAUUAAAAAAUUUCUUCCACUCUUCUCUUUAAUGAAAGCUAUUACAUUUAUUUGUUCACUUUUGAAGGAAAAAAAUAAUAAUUUCUUGAAAUAAUAGUCGGAGGGAAUUAAUUUUUUUUUUAAUUACUAUUCUCUUUUGAAAUUUCUUACCAUCUUAUUGAUUGUUGAUAUUCAAUAUAUAAUUAAAAAUUGAUUAAAUUUUAAUUUUUUUUUUAUGUUUUGAGUAUUAAAACUAUUAAAUAUAAGCAGGCCUCAUAAAACAAAUGCGCCUAAAGUCCCUAAUAUUUUAGAGCUAGUCCAAGCAAUAACUGAAAUUAAAGUUGUAAGAAAACUUAAGUAUGAUUUUCUUAUGCAAGUAUAACAUAAUAUGUCCAUAAAAAAUUAAGAACGGAAGUUUAGAAUCGAACCUCUAGUCAUUGAAGUAUUUUGCUCUAGAUUUUAAUAUUUCUGAACCCUCUGUAAUCAAUAGUGAUGGUGUAACAUAAAUUUUUUAACUUUAAUUACAGGCCUCAGAGACAAUUAUUUCAACAUUUCCCUUUUAUUUCAUCUUUCCUCAGGGACAAAAGUUUUAAUUUCCCUUUUAUUCAACAUUAGCCACGUGUUCAACAAAAGUACCAAUACGAAAUCAAUGAAAGUCCAUGCACGUAAAAGAAUUCUUGACUUUCAUGCAUUAAUUUAUAUAAAAUUCAUGCCAUUACUUGAUGCUCAUGCAAACUUCCAAAGAAAUUAAAACUUCAAGUCAAAUGCGUGUAAAUUUGUUAGUUCUUUUUUCAACUUUUGCUGCAAUUGAAUAAAUUUGUUAGUUCUUUUUUCAAGUCACUUUUAUUAAAAAAAUCUCCACUUACUUGAAUGGUAGAGUUCUACCUUGACUAUAAAACUAGUUCACCUUAUCCUUUACAGCAGCCAUGAUUCUCAACAUAGAGAUCCACCAUACUCCACCUACACGGGCAACCAUAGCACUUAGAAUUAAAUUGUAAGACAUCCCGGUUGUAUUUGGUCCUCGAGUGCGUCUAAUACAAAAUUUGGCCAUGGUUGAGCUUAAGAUACUACUUGCUCUCAUGCAGGCUAAUACUACUUGCUCUCAUUCACCUAUUUAUAGCUUUAUUACUGUGCCAGAAGAUGGAGUCAAUCUGCAGGUAAAAAAAUUGUGAGGCGUUUCUUGAGAAAUUAAUUUCAAUAUAUAAGGCAAAGAGUGACAGUUGAGAAACAAUUUAGGUAGGAGAUGAUUUAUUUUGUGAUGUUUGUUCUGUAAUUUGGUGAAUAUGGUUUAAUUUAAUGCCAUCUGGAUAAUAGAAAUUAAUACUCGUAGAAUUCGAUUUGGUCAGUAAAUAUCUAGGCAAUUUGUUGCCGUAGCUUGUGGGCUAUCUCAUUUCAUCCUCAAUUAAUUUUCGUGGGUGUUUGACGGUUGGUUGAAUGGAUAAAUAAUCUCUUAUGGAAGAAGAGGUCUGUAGUUCAAAUUAAUCCAGCUCACAUGUAAAGCAAUUAAUUUGUGAGUGUUCAUUGGUUCAAUGGUUACAUAAAAUCUCUUACGAUAGAAGAAUAUGUUGAUCUACAUGUGUUUUAUAAAACUUGCAACAUUUUGAAAUAUUCUAUGUACAGGACUUCUAUUUUAAUAUAUUUUCUGAACUAGCAUUACCUUAUAGUGAGCUAUGCAGAUUACUGAGUAAAAAUUGAGGUGAGUGAUCAAUGGUUAAUUGAAAAAAAUAGUUAAAUACCUGGUGUUUGAACUCCUCAAUGUAUAACAACCAAAUUACAAGAUUCUUAGAUGAGGCUACUCAGUUGUGUUGGGUCUCGCGUGCUUGAGCUUCCUCCUUAUGGGUUUAUUAUUAUAGACCUACCUUUAUAAACUAAUUUUGCUCCCUUUACUUGCCAAUGCGAAAUGAUGGUAGCUUUAAAUAAAAAUCUAUAUCUAUAAAAUACGAAUUAGAAAAUAAAUGAAUGAUCAACAUAGAGUCGCUUUUCAAGCCACAGGAAUAAAAAAUAAGAAUUAAAAAUAAUUUUGACAAAUAAUCUCCCAUCAACACGAUUGGUGUUAUUAUUAUAUAUAUUCGCCGUUGCUGUCAACAUGUCAAUCAUAUUUUAUAUUUAUAUUUGUAUUAUCAGCUCGUAAUUAUUAAUGCUUGCUUAGAUGUAUUUAAUCUCCCAUAAACUCGAUGGAUGUAACAUUUUGCAACCACAACUACUGGUGUAACACCCCAAAUCUAACACGUGCGGAGCACGUGCAGAAGGAGGUUAUUGUAAUCCUUAUUCAUAAAUUCUAAACUGAAAUACCUCAAAUUCUUAUUUAAAUAAAUUCACAAAUUCAUACGUCUCACACUAAAUAAUCUCUCCCAAAAUAUAACAAUAAAAAAAGUCUCAAACUCCAAAUUACAAGUUCAUAACAGAAAUAAACUAAAAAGAAACAUGAAUAUGUUUCUCUUCUUAUUCAAAUAGCAAACGAAAAUGAAAUCUCUAACUCCAAAGCUAAGCACACCUCUCAAAAGAAACUUAAUCUGCAAAAAUUAGUGAUGAGGGAUGAGCUGUUAACUCGGUAAGUAAAACCAUUCCUAACACACUAGACCUACAGAUACCAAAAAUAUUGCAAGCCUUCUUUUUAGUAAAACAUAUAUCAUAAUUCAUAAAUUUUAUAAAAUAACAUAUCACGAUAAAGUAACAUAAAUUCAUAGUAAUUCAGAAUAUCAAAAUCAUGGUUACUUACAAAAGCAAAUCAUAUAUCACAUACACAGAAAAACAAAAGGUUAGCUCAUAUCACAUAGUGUCACCUAUAGUCUCGGUGACCCAGCCAUAAACAUAAUCAGAAUUAAAAAAUCAUGUGCACACUCAGAACAUAAACCCAGUACUGGUCCAGAACAAACAUAUAUCGUAUAAUACGUUAGAAUUAGAAUCGGAAUAACUACGGACAAUGAGCCAAAACAUAAUGACGUGGCACUUUGCACUAUAUGUGGCACUUUGCGAUGCUUUGGCCCUCAAGAGGUGGCCCCCGUAUAAUCAUAAAUAAUUAAAAUCAUAAAUGGGCACAAAACAUUCGUAUUAGUUUCAUAAAUGUUCAUAACAACAAUUUAGGCUUGCAUAACAUUUUAAAGAUAAAAUCACAAAAGGUAGUUAUGUCAUAAAAUAAUUUAUCUAUUAAAAAGCAUUUAUAAAAUACUUUGUUAAAAAGAAUUUAGGUUUAAAAACAUUUACAUUACAAUUGUAUAUUUAGUUUGCCCUCUACUGGUUGGCAGUGGGCCAAUGAGAUCUACACCCCAAACAGUAAAAGGCCACGAAGAAGACAUGAUCGUUAACUUUUCUGAUGGAAGGUGAGGUACCUUGGUAAAUCUCUGGCACUUGUCACAACUCUUGACCAUAUUUUUAGAAUCCUCCCGUAUCGUAGGCCAAUAAAACCCUUGACAAAGGGCCUUUUGUGCCCAUGAUUGUGCUUUAUAGUGGAUACCACAAAUUCCUUCGUAUAUCUCUCUCAUGACAUAUUCGGCCUGCUCAUAUCCUAAGCACUUUAGGUAAGGGAGGGUAAACCCUCUUCUGUAUAAGGUAUCCUCGAUGAGACAAUAUCGUGCAGCUUUAUACUUCAGCCUUCUUACUUCAUUCUUGUUUGAGGGCAGAUCCCCAUUCUUGAGAUACCUUAUGAUUGGUUCCAUCUAAGGUACCCCAACAGUUAUUGACUCUACUUCUUCUGGCUCAGGUAGAUUAAUACUAGGUGUAGGUAUGUACUCAGCAGUGAUAGAACCAACAGACUAAGUUGUGCCGAAUGAAGCCAUUUUAGCGAGAUUGUCAGCUUUACAAUUUUCUAUCUAUUGAACUUUUUCCACUUUAACCUCAGCAAAUUGAGACAUCAAUUCUCUGGUUUUCUCGAGGUACCCCUUCAUAUUUUAUUUCUUAGCCUGAUAUUCCGAGGUGAUUUGACCGAUCACCAAUUGAGAGUCACUUUUGAUGUGGACCCUUUUUGCACCCAAGACCAUCAACAUUUUUAACCCCGAUAUUAUAGCUUCAUACUCGGCCUCGUUGUUUGAGGCCUUGAAUUCAAAUUGCAAGGCAUAGCAUAAUUUCACUUUACCCGGAUCGAGGAUUAUUAUUCUCGCACCACUUCCAUGUGAGUUGGAAGAACCAUCCACGUAAAAUUCCCAAACAUGUUCUUCCUCAUUGGCUGGUGUAGUUUCGUCCGAGUACCCCGGGAUCCCUUCACCCUCAGAGUCAUUAGCGAAUUCCGCAAUGAAAUCAGCAAUGGCUUGGGCUUUAAUAGCUGAGCGUGGCUUGAAAAUAAUGUCGAACUCACUCAAUUUAAAAGACCAGUGAAGAAGUCUUCCAGACAUGUCCAACUUUUGGAGGAUUUGUCGAAGGGGAAGAUUUGUAACAACAGCAAUGGUGUGGGCCUGAAAAUAUGGCUGGAGUUUCCUUGUAGAGAUAACUAAAGCCAAAACUAAUUUUUCUGUGGUGGGAUACCCCUUUUCCACGUCAACCAUUUCCCUACUAAUAUAAUAUAUGGGUCGUUGUACCCCAUUUUCGUCUUCUCUUAGUAAAACGGAGCUACUGACGUGCUCAGAAACGACGAGGUACAAUAGAAUCGCUUCUCUUGGUUUAGGUUUGGCGAGCAAAGGUGAAUUAACGAGGUACUCUUUUAGCUUCUAAAAAGCCUCUUCGCACUCGACAAUCCAUUGGAGUCUCUUCCCCGCUUUCAAAGCUUUGAAAAAUGGCUUACAACGAUCGGUGGCCUUAGAGUUAAACGACUUAAGGCGGCCACACGACUGACUAAACUUUGAACUUCUUUAAUGGUACUUGUGACUUCAUCUCAAGAACCACAAGGAUUUUAUCGGGAUUAGCCUCAAUUUCCCGCUAUUGCGCCAUGAAUCCCAGGAAUUUACCCAAAGAUAUCUCGAAUGCACAUUUUUCAAGAUUUAGGAGCAUCUGAUGCUUUCUUAAAACAUCAAAGGUGUCUCUGAGGUGGCCGGCGUGUUCAAUGGCGUACGCCGACUUUGUUAUCAUGUCAUCGAUGUAUACCUCCAUGGUGUGCUCAAUCUGCUGCUUGAAGACCUUAUUCACCAAACGCUGAUAAGUGGCGCUAGCGUUCUUCAAACCAAACGGCAUAACCUUGUAGUAGUACAAUCCACGGUUGGUGAUGAAGGUCGUUUUGUCUUGAUCGGGCUCGUACAUCAAAAUUUAGUUGUUUCUAGAGAAAGCAUCCAUGAAACUAAACAUCUCAUGUCCCGCCGUAGCAUCGACCAGCUAGUUUACUUGGGGAAGCGGGAAGCUAUCCUUGGGCAUGAUUUGUUUAAAUCUAUGAAAUUUACACACAUGCGCCAUUUCCCAUUGGACUUCUUGACUAAGAGAACAUUCGACACCCAGUCGGUGUAUAUCACCUCCCUAAUGAACCCGCCUACUAGUAAUAGGUCCACUUCUUGUUCAAUGGCGUCAUAGCGUUCUUGGUUGAAAGUUUGAUGGUUUUGCUUGACAGGCCUAUAAUAAGGAUCGACAUUGAGCUUGUGGCAGGCAAUAAAAGGUGGGAUACCUGGCAUAUCCGCGUGAGACCAGCGAACACAUAACAGGUUUCCUUUAAAAAUUCAACAAGUUUCCCCCGAUGUUAGUGAGGGAGGUUGGAGCCAACUUUGACCAUCUUGGUUGGGUCAUUAUUGCAGAUCGAAACAGGCACAAGAUCCUCAACUCGUACUCCUCGCUUUUCAUCUUUCAGCAUCCGCGGAUCUAAGGGUACCUCCACCUCUCUAAUUGAUGCUGAAUUAGGACUACAUGUGCCCUAGGAGCUACUAGGUCCACUUUUAUUGGCCUAACUUCUUAUUGCUGUUGGGAAUAUGUGGAUCGUUGAACUUUCUUACAUGCAACUCUCUGGCGUUUAGCAAAUGCUCGUUUGGAUAGGCUGAUAAGUGGCCUUGUACUAACGGGGUACCCCUUCAGGAAUAUAUUAGUGGCAAUUUGAUAACUAGCCUUCGAGGUGACGGAAUAGCACCCUCGAUCCGACUGCUGAUCCACUUUGAUGGUGAUAAUUUCCCCGACAAUUGGAAUCCUCAUGGUGAGGUAAUGCAUGGAGAUUACCGCUUUCGUUGUCGCUAAAAAUGGUCUUCUUAAGAUGAUAUUAUAGGCGUUGGGGUGAUCAACAAUAAGGAAGUUGAUCAUAUGGACAAACCCGGUGGGGUACCUUGCCAAUUGUAACGGGCAAAAUGAUGAUACCCUUGGGGAUGAUCACGUCUCCUGCAAAAUCGAUGAGUGAUGUGUCCUAUGGAGUGAUCUUUGGCGAUUCGAUUCGAUUAGCAGCUGAUCUAGGGCACUUUUAAAGGUGAUGUCCACAGAACUACCGGUGUCCACAAAAGUACCAUGGCGACUUUUAGCGUUAUAAUCAAAGUAUCAUCAUAGGGGUAUGAGACACAUUCCGCAUCUUUUUCUGUGAAAAGAAUAGAAUGGGAUAGUCGGGUACCUAUGGUACCCUAAAGUGAUUUUGACAAGCGAAGUUGACUUCCUUACCAAGGCAAUCCAAUAUUGAUGACUUGUUGUAAUGCUUGAUGGCUCGUCUAGAUUUCCCCGUAAGGGUAGAACCUCCUGCUAUCAUUCGAACAUAAACACUUUUCUUAGACUUGUAGAGUACUUCAACCUCGGGACUAAGAUUAGCAACCUGCUUACCCUUGUCUUACUUCAAGAACUCCCUAACCUCACGCAUAUUGGCCAUAAAAUCCUGAAGGUACCCGCUCAGGAUUGAGGACUCAAUUUCUUCCCGCAAGUGAAAACAUUCAGCGGUGCUAUGACCGAAAUCCUCAUGGAAUUCAUAAUAUUUCAAACUACAUUUUAUAUUAUGGUACUUUCGAAUUGGCUUGGGUGGGCGAAGUAUACCUGUAUCUCUUAUCUGGUAAAAAAUCUGCUCUGGAGACUGAUUCAAGGGAUGAAAAGAGUCAUAUCAGGGAUUCUGUUACGCUUUCCAUCAUUCUGGCGGUGGCGGCUUAACAUGCUGAGGUACGCAGGGUACAUCAAGAAUAUUCAACCCUCUCCCACGUGAGGUUGGACGAGGUGAGCUGUGUACCCGGGGUGCUCAAGAGGGUGUAUAAGGUGUCUCGGCUUUCUUUGGUUUCUCUUUGCUUUUCUCGACUUCUGCUUUGUCUUUAUCCCGCUUUAGGUAACACCUCCCGUCCAUUUCUAUUUGUUGUAAAGCUCGAGAACGAGCUUCCCCAUAUGAGAGAGGGUGGUACUUUUGAAAUGACAGUCAUAACUUCCCCAAACACAAAUUCUUUUCAAAAUGAAUAAGAGUAUAUUGGUGACCAAACGUACUGGUGCGCAACACCUCUUGGUGGAAGCGGGUUACAUACUUGAUAAAGCAAACUUAAAAGAUGCUAUAUCUUGGGAGGAAGUAUAACUAAACUCAUGAACAAAAUCUUUUAAGAGCUGGUCUAAGGAAGAUACGCUACCUGCCUUCAGCGAUCGAAACCACGAUUUGGCUAGUCCAGUGAUGGUAUGCGGGAACAUCUGGCACAUAGCGUUGUUGCCCACUCCUUUAAUUAGCAUCUGGUCAUGAUACAACUCAGUACAUUCCGUGGGAUCCGAGGUACCUGAGUGUUGCUGUAUUUAAGGCAUGGUGAAUGCUUCUGGGAGAACUACUGUCCAAAUCUCCAUGGUGAAUGACGAGUAAUACACUGCUAGCGCUAGAGCAUUGAUGAGAUUUUAUUUUUCAGAAAAGAGCUUCAUUUGAGCUUCAAGGUACUCUAUUUUUUCCAUGAGCUCGCAGGGUACCCCAGGUGCACUUGAGGAUGCCACAGUCAUUUGGAAAGCUCUUUUGGCGUUCAACUUGUGUCAGAGAUCUUCUUGGGCCUUUUGUUUGCAUUUGGUACCCUGACUACUACGGGAAUAGCAAGAGGCAGUGGAGCGUUCUUCUUGAGAGCUGCCGGUUUGAAACUUCGAACGGGUGCCCGAUGGUCAGUGCUUUGGUCUACUUCCCUCCGGUAUUUCAGACUUUGGUACGACAUGCUUAUCAUUGCGUGGUGGUGGAAUAUCUUGAGUCACUGGGGAAACUGCUUGCUUAGGUACUUGGGAUCCUACAGCUUUGAGAAUCGCGUGGGCUAAAUCCUCAAAGUGUUUAUGAGUAACGGGCUCUUCAUCGGGGUGAAUACCAGUUGACUGUUUAACGGCUUUACCUUUAUCAAGGCAGGGUGCUCUCCUUGUCGAUUCGCUCCUCUCAUCACUAUUGUGGUCCUCCACUCCAUCAUGACCUAGUAUUUGGUUAUCAAUGGGUACAUCGAGUGCCAUGGUUGCGCAAGCACACGUACCGACAAGGUUAGCACCGUGUGGAGGCUUUUUGUGCACUCCCCACAGAUGGCGCCAAUUGUUUUUAGUGGGUUUUGGGUACGUGUAUGAAAACCAUGCUAAGAACAAUAAAUUUAUUUUUGUCCGAGAGUGGGGUGCCUCGCUUGUUCAGCGCGUACUGGCUAUUUAAGCUUUUUGAGGAUUGAAGAAGGAUUAAUAUGGCGGUGGAUAUGGUAGGGGUUCGACUUCAGGUACAGAGGGCUGUCAAAAAUCGUCUUAAAUUUGUGAAACAACGAACAAAGAGGUCAGAGGUGGAGUCAAGGGCGGCCAGCGACUACGCUGCUACGCUCAAGUCAGAAUUGAGUUAUCUCAGGUUAGAGAGCUUGCAAGCUCUCGGUAAUAGAGGUUUAGUGGUUGAAGAAAUCUUAGUUUUUUUUUUUAGUGGUGUGUGUGUGUGUUAACUUACUUGAUAAAAAAUUAAAUCUGAGUAUUUAUAAGGUGUACCCUAGUCGUCCUGCCACCUGGCAUUAUCUUAUUGGCGUUCCUUACUGUCAUGUCAAAAAUGUUCUUAUUUUCAUGCAUAUGACUGCUUAAGCAUUUCAAAAAUAUGCAUGGAGAGCAAGUUUGAGGCGUAUUCACGUGCUAGGCGUAGUGGAGUGGUCCCGCAUACCUUUGUAAUUCUGUUGUAAAUUUGCAGGCGUGGCAGGAAAAGCUGGUGGUCCCAACUGUCAUAUUACCAACCUUUUGGCUUAUUUGUUGGCAUGACAGGCGGCUGUCUCCUCUUUUGCAGCACGAGAUUUCGUCAUCGAUUCCUUAUUUUUUGACUAGUAUUCAACCGAUCUUUUUGAGAGUUGGGGCCCAUCUAUCUCUUGAUAUUUUACGAACAUUUUUUUCUAACCUUUUUGCUCUUGCUCGGUGUACCCCAAGUUUCGAGUUUUGUGGGGUAGGUCGGCUACACCGAGUAUCCCAGGUACCGAAUUUUAUGGGGUAGGUUGGUUACUCUGGGUACCCCAGAUACCGAGUUUUAUGAGGUAGGUUGGAUACCUUGGAGGCGUAUAGUGAUCGUCAUGGUGCCUCAUCAACAUGUGGCGUUCUAUUACUUUUCCUGUUUCUCCCCAAACAAUGUCUAUAUUUAAUUUCCCUUUUGCCACACUUCUAAUCUCUUCUUGAACUGUGUUCAUACUGUUGAGUGUUAGAAAAUGCAUAUUUAUAAAGGAGAAAAUCAUCAUUUUACAUUUCAAGUUUUACUAACAACCAUUACUUUUAUGUAUUUAAGCUUUUUGUAAUUUAAUUAUGUGUGUUUGAUUUUAAUUAAGUAUUUUAUGUAUUUUAGGGGCAUCAUGGUCAUUUCACAAUAAACGAGAGAUCAGAUGGCAAAACGGACAUCACUUUUGAACUCAGGACGGUCGAAAACUUUAGGAGGAGCAUAAAAGGAAAAAUGACACUAUUCACAUGUACGGUACUAUUUACAUGUACGACACUGUCUACGUUACUGUUAAUGACACUGUUCACAUAGACGGAUUGAUGACGUGGCAUUGACCGAUGAUGUGGCAUUGACUGAUGAGGUGUCACGAUCCUGUUGGGCUAAAAUUCUUAUGUACUGUUGAUGGUGACGUGGCAGCAUAUCAGUGGACGAAAAAUCUCGCGUACGGUACAUGCAUCACACAGGAUUAUUGUCAACCAAACCGUGUUACUGUUCAUCCGGGUCAAACUGUGUUACUGUUCAUCCACGUGGUCAAACCGUGGACUGUUGACUGAUGACGUGGCGCAAUCCUGAGCGUCCAAACUGUUUUUAAUCCGAUGGCCAUGAUUUACUCCAUGUAUCUAUAAAAAAUGGGCCUCCCCCCCCUGAUUUGAUAUCUCUGAAUCCAUUUUUGGGAUCCAUUUUCUGUAAUUCCUUCUUCAUCUUGUAUUUUCUUCGUAUUUUAAUAAAUUUCCAUUUUGCCCCUAGUUUAAUUAUGAGUGGCUAAUUUUCUUUCAAGCUUGGGUUGAAGGUGAAGUCUCAACAUGUGUCAUGGGCUUAAUUUGGUAAAUUUAUUUUCUCUUCCCCUCUAGUUUUUGUGGAUGUUUUGACUUCUUGUCGAUAAAUAAUACUAAUCUUGUCUAGUACCGCCUUGGUUUCACCGGCCCCCUAGUACAAGGUUAUUAUUAUUUGGCACGAUAAGCCCUUAGCACCAUAUUGAUUAGAGCAUGGUUCAUGAGGUGUGGAUUCCCCCCUCAUGAUUUAAUUGACAUUAAUAAGGAUUAUAUAGCCCAUGAUGCAUGUUGAUACGGAUCCGGAUACCCAAGUGCUUCAUUUCAAUAGAUCUAUCUUUAAUUUAUUCUCGCUAUUGCAAUUCCAAUUUUAGAAUUUAUUCUCGCCAUUUUAAUUUAAGUUUUAGCAUAUUCCAAAUCAUUUCCACUACAAAUCCAAUCCCCCAUUUACAAAAUUAAUUCUACACACAAUUAAAAUCUACCUCCUCGUGGGAUCGACACUCGUCACCAUUGAUCUAUACUACAAUAGAUUCGUGCACUUGCGAGUUCAAUAAAAUUUGCACAACACAUACUAGUUGGAUUUUUUACCAGCUCUGCCCUUGCCCACUCUAGUGUUGUUACUGUAGUAUCAGUUCCUCCUAGAAACAUGUCCUAAGAAUGUGAAACAUGAAGAAAUAUUUAGUCCUGAUGCGUAUGCAUAUGUAUAUACGCAAGUGCGCGCUUUGGCGCGCGUGAUGUGUGCAAAAGAUGUAAAAAAACUAGAGCGACCUAAUAAUUGAGACUAGCUAGUUAAGAGGAAGAGACAGACCAGGAUAAUUGCUUUAAGAUUGUCCUGAGAAAGCUCUGUCCCCAGCAUGCUAUCCUUCCAAAGAUGGAGGAGUACAUCCACGAAGUCUUUUUUAUCAGAUUGGUCAUCAACAUCAGCACUUUCUGAUAAUACCUUGUUAAUAUGCUCUUCAAUCACCUGAUCAAGCAAAGCGUCUAAUGCUCUAGCAGUUGCGUUAAGACGACCAAUGAGUCCCGAUAGAUCAUCUAACCAUCCUAAAGAUGGAAACAUAUCCCCUAUGCAAAAGGCUGCAAGCUGCUCUUCUAGCCUUCUUAAUAACUCACCAUACUUAUUGCUCUUUCCAAUAUUUUCUUCUUCUUCAUCAGCUUUCCUCCCAAUAACGCAGCGGGAAACUAUAUUGUUGGAAACAGCUAGUAGCAUCUCCGUUAAAUUAAGAAGGCCUCCUUUAUUGAAACAUGAAUGGCAAAUUUUAUUGAUCAAACUUGACACUUCGUCAUCUCUAAUAUGCUGAAAUGAUUAAACUCUCCUCACAGUCAAGAGUUGAAGGACACAAAUCUUCCGAACUUGUCUCCAGUACUCACCGUAAUUAGUGAACGCGAUAUCUCGGCAUUCAUGUAGGAGGAUGUUAGCAGCAGUGGUUUUGGCCCGGUUCGAGAAAACAGUGUCAUGAGUUUUAAUCAUUUCACUAGCCAGCUCAACUGAUGAAACAACGAGAGUUGGAGAAUUGCCAAAGGAAACGAAUGUCAAAGGGCCGUACCGCUCCGAAAGAGCUUUGAGAGAGAUAUGAGGGAGAAUUCCCAGAAGCUGGUGAAGAUUGCCAAGUAUGGGAAGCUUUGGUGGGGAUGGAGGUAAGUUGAGAUGGUCACUACUACGUCUGGUGGUUUUCAGCAACCGUGGAAGAGUGAGCGAGAGGAUAAGAAGAAGAAAAGAGAUGAACAAAGGGAGGUUGUAAAUUUCUGAUGUGUCCAUGAAAGGCUGCAGCAGUUGCUUCAUCAGUAAUGAUAGCAGAGCCAUUUCAACUUGGAAUUUCACAAAGCUUCAAUUGGGGUUUGCUCUUUGAAUUCUCAGCUCUAGCGAGCUUUUUAAUUACGGAAUUAAUCCCUCGUAUCGGAUGACGAUGGAUUGAAUAGACUGACAUCAACGUGCCCACUUCUGCAAUAACUGAAAUUAAAGUACCACCGAAAUCAAUGAAAGUCCAUGCACGUAAAAGGAUUUCUUGACUUUCAUGCAUUCAUUCAUAUGCUAUAAAAGUUAAAAAAUUCAUGCCAUUAUGUAAUGCUCAUGCAAACUUCCAAAGAAAUUGAAAUUUCAAGUAAAAUGCGUGUAAAUUUGUUAGUUCUUUUUUUUCAACAGUUUUUCAACUUUUUCUGCAAAUGAAUAUUAAGGUAUUCAAGUUACUUUCAUUCAAAAAAUCUCCACUUACUUGAAUGUUAGUAACUCUACCCCUACUUCAACUUAUCCCUUACAGCAGCCAUGAUUCUCAACAUAGAGAUCCACCUUACUCCACCUACACGGCCAACCAUAGCACUUAGAAUUAAAUUCUAAGACAUCCCAGUUGGAAUUGGUCCUCGAGU
rnacentral:lncRNA from 1 species